GAUGAAGAACGUAGCGAAAUGCGAAAAGUAAUGUGAAUUGCAGAAUUCAGUGAAUCAUCGAAUCUUUGAACGCACAUUGCGCCCGCCAGUAUUCUGGCGGGCAUGCCUGUCUGAGCGUCAUUUCAACCCUCACGCCCCUAGGGCGUGGUGUUGGGGAUCGGCCAAGGCCCGCAAGGGACGGCCGGCCCCUAAAUCUAGUGGCGGACCCAUCGUGGCCUCCCCUGCGAAGUAGUAAUAUAUUCCGCAUCGGAUAGCGAUGAGCCCCUGCCGUUAAACCCCCAACUCUUUCAAGGUUGACCUCAGAUCAGGUAGGAAUACCCGCUGACCUUAAGCAUAUCAAUAAGCGGAGGA
rnacentral:misc_RNA from 1 species